UUCCAGACUCCUACGGGAGGCAGCAGUGGGGAAUAUUGCACAAUGGGGGGAACCCUGAUGCAGCGACGCCGCGUGGGUGAAGGAGCACCUCGGUGCGUAAAGCCCUAUCGGCAGGGAAGAAAAGCGAACAGGUUCGCCUGGACGGUACCUGACUAAGAAGCCCCGGCUAACUACGUGCCAGCAGCCGCGGUAAUACGUAGGGGGCGAGCGUUAUCCGGAUUUACUGGGUGUAAAGGGAGCGUAGACGGCCAUGCAAGCCAGGGGUGAAAGCCCGGGGCCCAACCCCGGGACUGCCCUUGGAACUGCAUGGCUGGAGUGCGGGAGGGGCAGGCGGAAUUCCUGGGGUAGCGGUGAAAUGCGUAGAUAUCAGGAGGAACACCGGCGGCGAAGGCGGCCUGCUGGACCGCGACUGACGUUGAGGCUCGAAAGCGUGGGGAGCGAACAGGAUUAGAUACCCCGGUAGC
rnacentral:rRNA from 1 species